UACGUAGGCAGCAAGCGUUGUUCGGAGUUACUGGGCGUAAAGAGUGCGUAGGCGGUGUCGAAAGUUUGGCGUGAAAUCUCCCGGCUUAACUGGGAGGGUGCGCCGAAAACUGCGACGCUGGAGUGUGGGAAAGGCAAGCGGAAUUCCCGGUGUAGCGGUGAAAUGCGCAGAUAUCGGGAGGAACACCAAGUGGCGAAGGCAGCUUGCUGGGACGGUACUGACGCUGAGACGCGGAAAGCGUGGGGAGCAAACAGG
rnacentral:rRNA from 1 species